rnacentral:rRNA from 1 species
CCUACGGGAGGCAGCAGUGGGGGAUAUUGCACAAUGGGGGAAACCCUGAUGCAGCGACGCCGCGUGGGCGAAGAAGGAUUUCGGUAUGUAAAGCCCUAUCAGUAGGGAAGAAGAAAUGACGGUACCUGAAGAAGAAGCCCCGGCUAACUACGUGCCAGCAGCCGCGGUAAUACGUAGGGGGCAAGCGUUAUCCGGAUUUACGGGGGGUAAAGGGGGCGCAGACGGCGAUGCAAGCCAGGAGUGAAAGCCCGGGGCCCAACCCCGGGACUGCUCUUGGAACUGCGUGGCUGGAGUGCAGGAGGGGCAGGCGGAAUUCCUGGUGUAGCGGUGAAAUGCGUAGAUAUCAGGAGGAACACCGGUGGCGAAGGCGGCCUGCUGGACUGCAACUGACGUUGAGGCCCGAAAGCGUGGGGAGCAAACAGGAUUAGAUACCCGUGUAGUC